GACUGUAGCUGAUGUUGAGUCUUCCAAGCCUACCUGUGACGCCUCGCCUGAUAUUACUAGGUGAACGACAAGGUAAUCAUCAAAAGUGGAUGGUCAGCAUUGAAUCCUUAAUCGUUUGUGAAGGGUCCAACCUCGCCACAUUUCUAACAGGGAUUGCGACAUGUUUCUCCACCUUCUACAGUAUAUUCUGAAUCUGCAAUAUCAGGAGGAGGCAGCGUGCACCCUUGAAUUCUUCCAGAGAAAAAGGCCCAGAAGAAGCCUAAGAACAAUCACUAAUAAGUAAAGUGAAUGUUACUUGAUUUCUCAUGAAUGUUACUUGAUUCCCUCCCUGAUUAUCAUUUAUACUCAUCUCUUACUUUAAAUUCUUCUGGACAUAAUCUGUCAGUUUAUUCAUUCUCACAUGUACACAAGGCCAAUGCGAUGCAAUGAUAUUGAUAAACAUCUGUGAUGAUUAUUCUGUAUCUUAUUUGAUUUUGAAAUAGUACUACUUUAGAUAACAUGUCUACAUUUUACAUACAUAUGUGAUACACAAGCCUAAUGCGAUGUUUUUAUUUUCCAUGAUAAUUCUUUUGUACCUUAUUUC